rnacentral:misc_RNA from 1 species
AACGCACAUUGCGCCUCUUGGUAUUCCUUGAGGCAUGCCUGUUCGAGCGUCGUUUAGACAUAUGAGGCUUUGCCUUGCGAUGGGCCGUUCGGACUUUGGGUUCGAAGGUCUCAAAUUCGUUGGCGGACUCUUGCGUAGCCGUUGAGCACCCACGUGCCGAUACUGCUCCAAAAACCGCCUUAGAAAACCGGAUGCUCCCAAGUAUCCAUAAAUGUCGACCUCGGAUCAGGCAAGACUACCCGCUGAACUUAA